GAUGAACGCUAGCGACAGGCCUAACACAUGCAAGUCGAGGGGCAUCGCGGGUAGCAAUACUUGGUGGCGACCGGCGCACGGGUGAGUAACGCGUAUGUAACAUGCCUGAAACAGGGGGAUAGCUCCCGGCAACGGGGAUUAAGACCGCAUAAGACCACCGGUCCGCCUGGACCAGUGGUAAAAUCUCCAAAGGUUUCAGAUGGGCAUGCGUGACAUUAGCUAGUUGGUGAGGUAACGGCUCGCCCAGGCGACGAUGUCUAGGGGUUCUGAGAGGAAGGUCCCCCACACUGGUACUGAGACACGGACCAGACUCCUGCGGGAGGCAGCAGUGAGGAAUAUUGGUCAAUGGGCGAGAGCCUGAACCAGCCAUGUCGCGUGCAGGAAGACGGCCCUAUGGGUUGUAAACUGCUUUUGUACGGGAAGAAAAAAGAUUACGUGUAAUCUAUCGACGGUACCGUACGAAUAAGGAUCGGCUAACUCCGUGCCAGCAGCCGCAAUAACAC
rnacentral:rRNA from 1 species